rnacentral:rRNA from 1 species
UACGAAGGGGGCUAGCGUUGUUCGGAAUCACUGGGCGUAAAGGGCGCGUAGGCGGCUUUAUAAGUCGGGGGUGAAAGCCUGUGGCUCAACCACAGAAUUGCCUUCGAUACUGUAGAGCUUGAGACCGGAAGAGGUAAGUGGAACUGCGAGUGUAGAGGUGAAAUUCGUAGAUAUUCGCAAGAACACCAGUGGCGAAGGCGGCUUACUGGUCCGGUUCUGACACUGAGGCGCGAAAGCGUGGGGAGCAAACAGG